rnacentral:rRNA from 1 species
GAUGAACGCUGGCGGCGUGCUUAACACAUGCAAGUCGAACGAGAACCAUUGGAUCGAGGAUUCGUCCAAGUGAAGGUGGGGAAAGUGGCGGACGGGUGAGUAACGCGUGAGCAAUCUGCCUUGGAGUGGGGAAUAACGGCUGGAAACAGCCGCUAAUACCGCAUGAUACAGCUGGGAGGCAUCUCCCUGGCUGUCAAAGAUUUAUCGCUCUGAGAUGAGCUCGCGUCUGAUUAGCUAGUUGGCGGGGUAACGGCCCACCAAGGCGACGAUCAGUAGCCGGCCUGAGAGGGUGAACGGCCACAUUGGGACUGAGACACGGCCCAA